AUUGAACGCUGGCGGCAUGCCUUACACAUGCAAGUCGAACGGCAGCAUAGGAGCUUGCUCCUGAUGGCGAGUGGCGAACGGGUGAGUAAUAUAUCGGAACGUGCCCUAGAGUGGGGGAUAACUAGUCGAAAGACUAGCUAAUACCGCAUACGAUCUACGGAUGAAAGUGGGGGAUCGCAAGACCUCAUGCUCCUGGAGCGGCCGAUAUCUGAUUAGCUAGUUGGUGGGGUAAAAGCCUACCAAGGCGACGAUCAGUAGCUGGUCUGAGAGGACGACCAGCCAGACUGGGACUGAGACACGGCCCAGACUCCUACGGGAGGCAGCAGUGGGGAAUUUUGGACAAUGGGGGCAACCCUGAUCCAGCAAUGCCGCGUGAGUGAAGAAGGCCUUCGGGUUGUAAAGCUCUUUUGUCAGGGAAGAAACGGUGGUAGCUAAUAUCUACUACUAAUGACGGUACCUGAAGAAUAAGCACCGGCUAACUACGUGCCAGCAGCCGCAGUAAGAC
rnacentral:rRNA from 1 species